CAGCAGCCGCGGGAAUACGGAGGGGGCUAGCGUUGUUCGGAAUUACUGGGCGUAAAGCGCACGUAGGCGGCUUGGUAAGUUAGAGGUGAAAGCCUGGAGCUCAACUCCAGAAUUGCCUUUAAGACUGCCGAGCUAGCAGGUGAGAGAGGUAAGUGGAAUUCCGAGUGUAGAGGUGAAAUUCGUAGAUAUUCGGAAGAACACCAGUGGCGAAGGCGGCUUACUGGCUCAUACUGGACGCUGAGGUGCGAAAGCGUGGGGAGCAAACAGGAUUAGAUACCCCAGUAGUCCCUGUCUCUUAUAC
rnacentral:rRNA from 1 species